AGUGAACGCUGGCGGUAGGCCUAACACAUGCAAGUCGAACGGCAGCACAGUAAGAGCUUGCUCUUACGGGUGGCGGGUGGCGGACGGGUGAGGAAUACAUCGGAAUCUACUUUUUCGUGGGGGAUAACGUAGGGAAACUUACGCUAAUACCGCAUACGACCUACGGGUGAAAGCAGGGGAUCUUCGGACCUUGCGCGAUUGAAUGAGCCGAUGUCGGAUUAGCUAGUUGGCGGGGUAAAGGCCCACCAAGGCGACGAUCCGUAGCUGGUCUGAGAGGAUGAUCAGCCAAACUGGAACUGAGACACGGUCCAGACUCCUACGGGAGGCAGCAGUGGGGAAUAUUGGACAAUGGGCGCAAGCCUGAUCCAGCCAUACCGCGUGGGUGAAGAAGGCCUUCGGGUUGUAAAGCCCUUUUGUUGGGAAAGAAAAGCAGCAGGUUAAUACCCCGCUGUUCCGACGGUACCCAAAGAAUAAGCACCGGCUAACUUCGUG
rnacentral:rRNA from 1 species